UGUAUUGGAGAGAACAGGGAUCGCAGCUGAAAGCUAGGAUAAACACAGAAUUGUCUUCUUGUCAAGCAGCAAUAGCAGUGCAGAUUAAGAGCCUCGUUUCUCUUGAUUUGGAAGGGAAAUCUUCCAAAGAUGUAUUGCGUCGAACUCCUGCCUUACUCCCGGACGCUGCUGAAGCUUGGAUACUCUCUUUAUGGUGGAAAUUGAAAAUAUGUGAGGAGCUGUUCAGCACAUUACUCGGUGGAAUCAGCCAAAUAGCACUGUCUUGCGGAGGCUAGCUCUUGAGAGUGUUGCACAUUCGUCUGAAGCCCCUUGUCCUGACGGCUUGUGCUCGGUUUGCUUCUAGUUUCUUUUUUUUGUUUUUUGGAUGUGGAUAUUGAUCUUCCUAUCAUACACCAAGUUGUGAACAGAUAUCAUUCGCUUUUGAAGUUUGCUCUUCGGAACAAGCUGGUGUGUUAAGAAAUAAUCAUGGAACUAUGAUGGAAAAAAAAACAGGCUGUUCCUGUUGUGCAGCUCAAUCGUAUAUGUCUUCUUUCUGACUUGAGCUCAUCCAUUAAAAAGUGGGAAGUUAUAGACAUGAUAUUGCCCCUCUUCUUUGAGAGUCUUGAAGAAGGUGAUGCUUCUGCUCCAUGUUUAUUGCGUCUCCGAGUAUGAACCCUUGCCUCUUAAGAAUGUAUAUGCUAGUGAAUAAUGCUAUUUGUCUUUUUUGCGCUUUGCUUAGUAUUUGAUAUAUCAUUUCAAUUGCUUCUGUGGUAACUAUUGUCAUCCAUAUUGUGGCAAUCAAGUUCAACUGUUUUCAUAAAUGUUUCAGCCACUUGAUGCGGUUCUCGCAUGGCUUGUUUGGGUUUUGAUUAGUCUUAUCGUGAGACAAUAGUUCUAGUGACCAGAAACUAUUUAGAUGAACUCAAGAAUGUCGGAUUGGAAGAAAGCAAAACACUGCCCCCAAGAAACUACUACAGAGCGUGUAGAAGUAUGUGUUUAGGUGUUUCUUUGUAGUUUGGACUACAUAUUAUGUGCUAUUUUGCAGGCUUGUAACUUCUCAUAGUUUUGCUAACUUCUUCAGUUUAUAUUUUAGAGACUCCCUGCAGGGUUUCUUCUGGUUGCCUCUCGUCUUAGUAGCUCAAAACUGAGGUCUGAUUACCGCCAAUAGGCUAUGGUCUUCAUGCUCGGAUGUGGCAGUGGCUGCUGAAUCAAAAAGUGGAACGUAGAGUGCUGAUGGGUGUCAGGCUUUUAUGUCAACCUUAUUGCACUGCACGCCUAUCUGCAUCCCAUGUCUUGUUAGGGCCUUGACGCCUGAGCAGCCACCUGAUUGUGUUUGGUAUUGCUGAUUAAUAUGGAUGAUACAGAGACUAUUGAGCGAGCACCGGGUGCUGGCGUGGCGUGGAGUGCCGUCUUAGAUCAUAGCAGCCUUGGGAAUGUUUGGACUUUGGAGUUUUGGUUACUUAAAAAGGAUCAUCUGGAGUUCUUUUCCGUUUGACUCUUUUCUUCCUUUUUCUCAGUAUAAUGCUUUCGGAUUUGCAGGAGUGGUGCUGAUUUCUUGGGGCCAUUAUUGCCUGCAGUUGUCGAAAUUUGCUUUGAGUUUGAUCCUGCAGCCAAUGUUGAAGUGUUAGAGCGACAUGUCUUCUUGGAGUUGCUUUUUUGGAGAUAUUACGGUUUAGUUGUAAUGGUGGUGUACUCUGUGUUGACUCCUCUUUAACUACAUUAAGAAGUGCAUUCGGUUAUGUGUUCGAGUA